AUUGAACGCUGGCGGCAUGCUUUACCCAUGCAAGUCGAACGGCGGCGCGGGCUUCGGCCUGGCGGCGAGUGGCGAAGGGGUGGGUAAUGCAUCGGAACGGGCCCAGUAGUGGGGGAUAGCCCGCCGAAAGCCGGAUUAAUACCGCAUACGACCUGAGGGUGAAAGCGGGGGACCGAAAGGCCUCGCGCUAUUGGAGCGGCCGAUGUCGGAUUAGCUAGUUGGUGGGGUAAAGGCUUACCAAGGCGACGAUCCGUAGCUGGUCUGAGAGGACGACCAGCCACACUGGGACUGAGACACGGCCCAGACUCCUACGGGAGGCAGCAGUGGGGAAUUUUGGACAAUGGGGGCAACCCUGAUCCAGCCAUGCCGCGUGCGGGAAGAAGGCCUUCGGGUUGUAAACCGCUUUUGUUCGGGAAGAAAUCCUCUGGGCUAAUACCCCGGGGGGAUGACGGUACCGGAAGAAUAAGCACCGGCUAACUACGUG
rnacentral:rRNA from 1 species